rnacentral:lncRNA from 1 species
GACCAGGUGACUGGGAUGCAGUAAUAAUUUUAAUAUUUGUUAAAAUAUUUAAGGAAGAAAAAAAAUUUACUAUCCGUAUUUUAAUAGCAUUUGAUGUAUCUCAAAAAUUAUAUAUGUUGGGGCAUAUUUAGUUCUAUAUUAAUUAUAAAUUAAAAAAAAUAUAAUUUAUAUAGAUCAAAAUUAUCUCUUUUUUUAUGAAACAUCUUUUAAAGAAUAAAAUUAUGUG